rnacentral:rRNA from 1 species
UAGGUAGGUGGUCUCAUUUGUCUGGGGUGAAAGCCCAGGGCUUAACCCUGGAAGUGCCCCGGAAACGGUGAGACUGGAGUCUUGGAGAGGGUCGUGGAAUUCCCGGUGUAGCGGUGAAAUGCGUAGAGAUCGGGAGGAACACCAGAGGCGAAGGCGGCGACCUGGACAAGCACUGACACUCAACUACGAAAGCGUGGGGAGCAAACAGGAUUAGAUACCCUGGUAGUCCACGCUGUAAACGAUGGGUACUAGGUUUGGUGGGUCUUGACCCCCGCCGAACCGGCGCUAACGCAAUAAGUACCCCGCCUGGGAAGUACGGUCGCAAGACUAAA